ACUUGCUAUGUUAGACAACCUCAAGGUUAUAUGUAAAGAGAAACCUGAGCUGCAUCCAGUUAUAAAAAAUAUUGAAAUUUUGAUUGUAAUUAGCUGUACUAGACUCAAGAAUAUAGUUCCAUCCUCAGUGUUGUUUGAGAAUUUAGAACAGUUGCAGGUGUACGAUUGUGCUGGAUUGGAAAUUAUUAUGAAAUCAUCAACAGCUUCUAGUUUACAAAAACUAAGAAAGUUGUGUAUAAUUGGUUGUGAAAAGAUAGAAGAAAUAAUUGCAAGUGAUGAUGAGAAUGAUGCUUCUGAGAUAGCUUUUAUGAAAUUGGAAUAUCUACGAUUGAGUAACUUACCAAGGCUAAGAAGUUUUUGCAUGGGAAGACAUGGCUUCAGAUUUCCACUACUGCGUGAGUUAUUUGUAAUUGAUUGUCCCAUAAUGGAAACUUUCUCACAUGGUGUGUUGAACACACCAAAUCUCAGAGAAGUACAUGUAAAUGACGAAGACAAAGAUGAAUGCCACUGGAAUGGUGACCUUAAUUCUACUAUAAGUAAAAUUGUAGCGAAAAAAAGAUAACCAGAACUCUAAGGAUGAUUAUUUUGUCCUCAAAAUUUGGAUGAUGGCUCAAGUAGAUAAUUCAUCGCUACCACUGGGUGUAUCCACAUGUUUUGGAUGCGAGGCUACAACCAUGAAUCCAUGAUGAUGAUGUAUCGGUCUAAUGACUUAUUUAUGAGAGUGACUUAUGUCUCUUGUUUUCUGAUAUUUGUAAAACUAAUUUCUC